AAUUUGGUACCACUAAAAUAAACACUGAAUUAAACUAUUUAAUGGGACUCACAUGUUCUCCACCUUCAAUCAUUUUCUCCUUGUCCCGCAAUCAAUUAUCAAACUAAUAAUUCGGUGGAUCUUCCAUAUUUUCUCCACUUUCCAUCCCAGUGAGACAAUCAAACAUGCCAAGGGGUGUUGAGAAAAACAGGAAUACUAAAAAUUGAAUUUUUUGUGCGGCUAACGAGUAUGUUCAUUGCUCAGGAAAUGUUCGGAAAUGUUGAUGUCUUACUACAGUUGCUGGCAGAAACGCUUCCAUUUGUGCAUGAGAAAGCGAUUGAGACAUGUCCAUUUCCGAACAUUUCAGAAAAUUCAGGAACACUGUUUUCUACCUCCUGUCUUAAACAGUAUAUAGGGGGGCGUGUGGAGGAGGGUCAGCCAACUAGGCUCCAUGCUGAGAUUGUUAACUCUGUCCGCUUCCUCUGGUUCGUAUUUUGAGAAAAAAGUUUCAGUAUAUUGAUCUUAUGGUUGGUCUGAAAUUCAUUAUUUUACUGGUACGUUUUACAUAACGCAGUACAUUUGAAGAACAUCAUAAUAUGAUUUUUAAUCUCUUAUGGGAAAUGGUUGUAACUUAUAAGCUCCUACAUAAAUAUGCAAAUCAGUGCUACCAAUCUGUUGAAAGUUAGUGUAAGUGCAUUCAUUCUCCUGGAGUUGUCAUCUCUGACUACUUCUACCAUGUGUGUUAUUAAAUCUCAGAUAUCUUUCCCUUAAUAGGUACCAAAUAUUGAUGCUAAAGUGGCCUCAACUCAUGUGUUGCCUGCUCUUGUCACUCUGGGCUCUGACCAAAGCUUGAAUGUAAAGUGUGCAAGCAUUGACGGGUUUGGAGCUGUGGCACAGAAUUUUAAAAAUGACAUGGAAUAUAUUUUUGGAUGUUAAUUUGAUAUUGACGUUUUCAAUAUAGCAGCUUGGAUGCGUCUUGCUGAUCCAAUUUCACACUCUUUAGAUCGUUGAUAAAAUACGUGUUCAAAUGGAUGUUUUUCUUGAAGAUGGCCCACUUGAAGCUACAAUUGCUGUGGUCCAUACAUUGGUGGCGGCUGUACCACAUACAACAGAUAGACUUAGAGAUUAUAUCCUGAACCCUUCUUCUUGGGAUUUAUAGGUGUACUAAUAAGCGAAGAAGACUUUGGGUCAAUCAAUCUGAUAAGCGUUAGUCACGGGAAUGAUUGGCUUGGCUUGGCUUGGCUUUGCUGGUCUCAUACGUUGGUUCCCAUUAGAAAUAGAAAAGUAGGAAGUGAAAAAGCAUCACGCCACUACCAAACCAUAUACAUAUGUUUGACUCGCAAUUUGAUUAGUCCAGAUUAAUACAUUUUCAGAUACA